rnacentral:rRNA from 1 species
CUGGGACUGAGACACUGCCCAGACUCCAACGGGAGGCUGCAGUCGCGAAUAUUCCGCAAUGGACGAAAGUCUGACGGAGCGACGCCGCGUGUGGGAUGAAGGCCUUCGGGUUGUAAACCACUGUCACGGUUUAUGAAUGGGUGUGAGGAAUAAUACCCUUACACUUUGACAAAGGACCGAGAGGAAGUCACGGCUAACUACGUGCCAGCAGCCGCGGUAAUACGUAGGUGGCAAACGUUGUUCGGAAUCACUGGGCAUAAAGAGUCUGUAGGCGGUAAUAUAAGUCAGGUGUGAAAUCCCAGAGCUCAACUUUGGAACUGCACUUGAUACUGUAUAACUAGAAUACUGGAGAGGUAGGCAGAAUUCAUGGUGUAGCGGUGAAAUGCGUUGAUAUCAUGGAGAAUACCGAUGGCGAAGGCAGCCUACUGGCCAAGUAUUGACGCUGAGAGACGAAAGCCAGGGUAGCGAAAGGGAUUAGAUACCCCUGUAGUCCUGGCCCUAAACGAUGCACACUAUAUGGUGGGAGUCUUACGCUCUCGCUACAGCAGCAAAUGCAUUAAGUGUGCCGCCUGGGGAGUAUGGUCGCAAGGCUAAAACUCAAAGGAAUUGACGGGGGCUCACACAAGCGGUGGAGCAUGUUGUUCAAUUCGAAAAUACGCGAAGAACCUUACCAAAGCUUGACAUGUUUGAAUUAGGUAUAUGAGAGUAUACUGACGCCCUUUCCGGGUGGAACUUACACAGGUGUUGCAUGGCUGUCGUCAGCUCGUGUCGUGAGAUGUGGGGUUAAGUCCUUUAACGAGCGCAACCCUUAUCUUCUGUUGCCAGCGGGUAAAGCCGGGGACUCUGGAGAGACUGCCGGUGUUAAACCGGAGGAAGGCGGGGACGACGUCAAGUCAUCAUGUCCCUUAUGUUUUGGGCUACAAACGUGCUACAAUGCGGAGAGUAACGAGAAGCAAUACGGUAACGUGGAGCAAAUCUCUAAAACCUUCGCCUAGUUCGGAUUGAGGUCUGCAACUCGACCUCAUGAAGCCGGAAUCGCUAGUAAUCGCGGGUCAUCAAUACCGCGGUGAAUAUGUACCUGAGCCUUGUACACACCGCCCGUCAAGCCACCCAAAUUGACAGUACCCGAUGUUCGUGACCCAACCGCAAGGAGGGAGCGACCUAAGGUAAUGUUAGUGAGGGGGACUAAGUCGUAACAAGGUA